UGAAGGUGAAUGAGGUGUCUUUUGGG
rnacentral:piRNA from 1 species